rnacentral:piRNA from 1 species
UGAUGUAGCGUUGGACUUGGUUCC